AAGUAGAGUUUUUCUAUAUUAUAAAUGUGAUGAAGAACGAUUGGUAGGCUUUAGGUGGGCAGCCAAUGAGUAUUGGAUUGCCCAUAAAGACCCUACUAAGUACU
rfam:Capsicum annuum cultivar Zunla-1 chromosome 6, whole genome shotgun sequence